GUGAGGAAUAUUGGUCAAUGGACGAGAGUCUGAACCAGCCAAGUCGCGUGAAGGAAGACGGUUCUAUGAAUUGUAAACUUCUUUUGUGCAGGAAUAAAGUGGGUUACGUGUAACCUUUUGUAUGUACUGUACGUAUAAGGAUCGGCUAACUCCGUGCCAGCAGCCGCGGUAAUACGGAGGAUCCGAGCGUUAUCCGGAUUUAUUGGGUUUAAAGGGUGCGUAGGUGGAUUGAUAAGUCAGCGGUGAAAGUUUGCAGCUUAACUGUAAAAUUGCCGUUGAAACUGUCGGUCUUGAGUGCAAAUGAGGUAGGCGGAAUGUGUUGUGUAGCGGUGAAAUGCUUAGAUAUAACACAGAACUCCGAUUGCGAAGGCAGCUUACUGGGAUGCAACUGACACUGAUGCACGAAAGCGUGGGUAUCAAACAGGAUUAGAAACCCCAGUAGUCC
rnacentral:rRNA from 1 species